rnacentral:rRNA from 1 species
UACGUAGGGUGCAAGCGUUGUCCGGAAUUAUUGGGCGUAAAGAGCGUGUAGGCGGUCCGGUAAGUCAGCUGUGAAAGUCAAGGGCUCAACCCUUGAAUGCCGGUUGAUACUGUCGGGCUAGAGUCCGGAAGAGGCGAGUGGAAUUCCCGGUGUAGCGGUGAAAUGCGUAGAUAUCUGGAGGAAUACCGGUGGCGAAGGCGGCAUCCUGGACCGGCAUUGACGCUGAGGAGCGAAAGCCAGGGGAGCAAACGGG